rnacentral:rRNA from 1 species
GAUGAACGCUGGCGGCGUGCCUAAUACAUGCAAGUCGAGCGAACGGACGAGAAGCUUGCUUCUCUGAUGUUAGCGGCGGACGGGUGAGUAACACGUGGAUAACCUACCUAUAAGACUGGGAUAACUUCGGGAAACCGGAGCUAAUACCGGAUAAUAUUUUGAACCGCAUGGUUCAACAGUGAAAGACGGUCUUGCUGUCACUUAUAGAUGGAUCCGCGCUGCAUUAGCUAGUUGGUAAGGUAACGGCUUACCAAGGCAACGAUGCGUAGCCGACCUGAGAGGGUGAUCAGCCACACUGGAACUGAGACACGGUCCAGACUCCUACGGGAGGCAGCAGUAGGGAAUCUUCCGCAAUGGGCGAAAGCCUGACGGAGCAACGCCGCGUGAGUGAUGAAGGUCUUCGGAUCGUAAAACUCUGUUAUUAGGGAAGAACAUAUGUGUAAGUAACUGUGCACAUCUUGACGGUACCUAAACAGAAAGCAACGGCUAACUACGUG